UACGAAGGGGGCUAGCGUUGCUCGGAAUCACUGGGCGUAAAGGGUGCGUAGGCGGGUCUUUAAGUCAGGGGUGAAAUCCUGGAGCUCAACUCCAGAACUGCCUUUGAUACUGAAGAUCUUGAGUUCGGGAGAGGUGAGUGGAACUGCGAGUGUAGAGGUGAAAUUCGUAGAUAUUCGCAAGAACACCAGUGGCGAAGGCGGCCACCUGGCUCGGUACUGACGCUCAGGUUCGAAAGCGUGGGGAGCAAACAGG
rnacentral:rRNA from 1 species